CCGAGUGCGUGCGCUCUUUACUCGACGUGCUUUGCGGUGCGCGUAUGUGCGUAUAUAGAUUCCAUUGAAGGGCAUUUCGCGAAUCUGUGGAGAGGCGUUUUGUUUGCGCGAUCGGGGCGGAGAGAAGGCCGGUCUUUUUCACGAUGGUCGUUGCCGAGAGAAUUGCCAGCAGAAUAAAUCGCAUCUUGCCCGAUGGUUGUUUUCACUUCGUCAAUGCAUGUGGUCGCACGCUUGAUACAAGAAAUAAUAUUCUUUAUCCAGCAUUAUGAGCGUUAAGAUUUCAAUUUGACGUUGUUGGAGAAAUCAUGAUAUUGUGUAACUUUGCGAAACACGACCGUGUCUUCGAAUCUGCAAUUGCGUUUUGGAUGGACGUUUUGUUUUGUCGUGCUAUCAUAGACAAGAUAAUGUUAUUAUGAAAUGCGCAUAAUAAUGUCACAUAUAUACACGCACGCACGUAUACCACAUAUAUAUAAAUAUAUAAAAAUUAUCUCGUGCGCAUAUUGGAGUAUUGGAAUAAAUCGAGAAAGUUGAUGCCACAUCCAAGAGGCGACAUAUGCUGGUCGUGUGCGUUACUAAUAGGUUGGCGUCGCGUGUCAAAGGGACGUCACAUGUGAUGCGCGCGUUGCCCUCCCUUUCGCCAUAGUUCUCGCGCAAUUAGCCGAGCUAAAUGCCGCCACACUUUACGUAAUCGCUCGCCUCCUGUUCCCGCGUGGUCCCGCUUAACCUUUCUGACAUAAAACUAAUUCUAAGUAGAGGUGAAAAAAGGAGAGUGGAGCCGCAAAUUCGCGGCCUACGAUGCAUCUGCUAUUGUGUAUCUGCGUCUCUCAAUUACGAAAUAUGAUAAAUGUAGGACGCGUUUUCUCUCUCUUUUUCUCUCUCUUUUCUCUUUAUACAAUCAAGAAUAAUAAUGGCAUUUUAGCAAAUAUGUAGCAAUCUGGAUGUUGCAACAUAAUUCAAAUCUGAAUUUAGAUAGAACUAUGCAAUACAGAUAAAUAUUCUCGGAAUCUAUUAGAUAUCCAAAUUAUGUUGCAACAUCCAGAUUGCUGGAUAUUUGUUAAUAUACAUAUAUUGCCGUUAUUAUUUUUUAUUGUAUGAAGAGAGAGAAAGGGGAGAGGGAAAAGGAGAGCAACCAUUUCUUUUUCUCUUCUGCUUUCCGCCGCUUGUCAUGCUGUUUAAAGUUCGGACAAUGCCUAGAAACGCGUCAGCAAGUUUGAGUUACACACGUAUACCCAGAACUUUCGAGUGCCGUCGUGGCUUAUUGCCGAGCACGAAGCCGACUGCCUACCUAUCUUCUUGAUCUCUCAAGAGAGAAAAAUAUUUAAAUGCUGCAGUCGCGACACGUCGCGCUUUGAAUUCAAUAACGCGUCACAGCGUGAGAAAAAGGAGUGUUAAAACGAGCGUUAUUUGAAUUAAGAAAUGCAAACGUUUAAAUUUGCAUAAUAAAGUAGAUUCCUGUGAAUUGUUUUUCAAAUCUUAAUAAUAAUAAUCGAUGUAAAAAACAAUUAAUCUGAAUCUAAUUGAAAAAAAAGUUGAAGUGAAGAAUGCAUUUUAUUACUCGCCGUCAAACUUUACAACUUUUACGCUCUAAUAAUAAUAAAUUGCAGAAACGUUUAAGAAAUUUGAUUUAUAUACUAUACAACGAGUGUAAUAGGUAUAAUUUUUAUUUACAAUGAUUAUUUUUAUAUACACGUGAAUGAUAUGAAUAUGCUUUAUUUUCAUGCGUGUUUUUGCGGGAAAUUCUUAACAACUUAAUGAGUAAUAAAUCAAAGCUAUUAUUUUUCGGACACUUUGGCUAGAUGCAUAUUAUAUUCUUUAAUAUAAUAUUCUAUAAUCUUGUUGCACAAGAAAGAUUAUUAUUAUAGAUUAUAUUGUAUAUUAUGUAUAUUUAGCAUGGCAACCGUUGUGUGGGGGUGUGCACCAUGGCGGAGAAGAUGAUACUCAAGUAUCAUCUUCUUUCUUUUUUUCUUUAGAAUACCACCACAAAAUCAAUGGCAUUGUCUUGAGUGUACGUUAGAUUGCAAUCAAUAUUUUCACAAUAUAGCGGCAUUGUCUGCCCGACACGGUCGAGUUGUGCGAGUAUGCUUCACGUAAAGCAAGGGACUCCUUUCUUUGCAGCGUCUAUCAUUGAAUGAAAAAGAUGUUCCAAACUUAUUCAGCAAAAAAAAAAAUUUCGCAAGAUAUAUAGCAAAUUCUGAAAAGAAAUUGAGUAAAACAAAAUUAAAUAGCUACCAAGAAAGUUAAUAGUAAUCAAAAUAACAAGAUGUGAGACAAAUGCCAAAUCUCGAUAUUAUAUGUAUAUAAUAUGAUUUUAAGUCUCUUCUAAUUUAAUAUCUGCCAAUUAAACAACUUGUUAUUAGUCUUUUACAAUGUUGUAACUAUGUAAUAAUGUAUCUAUCAUCGAAAAAUAUUUUGAUGUUUUAUUCAAAUCCACCGGUCGUAAAGAAAAAGAAAAAUAUUCGAGCAGAACAUGAUAUAACUGUCACAUUAUACAUAUCUUUCUAUAAAAAAGUUAUGACGUAAUCGUUUCGUUUAUUAUAUAAUAACUUGAGAUUUAUAAAUAUAUGUACCUACAUAUAGGUAGUAGGAUAUUAAGGGAUAAAAACAUUCUUUGAGUGAUGCUGUAUUUGUGAAACUUGUUUUGGCCUCACGUGCCAACGUUUCGCAACCUCGAAAAGCUAAUCGGUCUUUAAUAAUAGUAAACGAAAGUGAAACGAGACUCAGCCAUAAAUCAAUGCCAUCGGCCAUUGUUUUGUCAUUUUAAAAGAUUCUCUUUCACAUAGUGUGAUCGAUUAUGGUUUGUUGACGAUACGAAUCUUGUCGCGUCUAAUUAAUGCAUUUAUUAGUUUACGGUAGACGUCGUUACGGAAACGUCAUUCGACGUUUUCGAAGUCUUACAUCAACUCAAUAAAAGCGCCACGCGACGAUUUACUUUCACAAAAAAACAUCUCCAGUUUUUUCAAGGACGCGUACUGUAAUAAGUUGAAAUUUAUGACGUGAAUUAUUUGAUCGUAAAAAUCAAAAGUCAUUCCUUGAAAAGAGAACAGCUGACGCAAAAAAAAUGUUAUUUGAAUUUUAUCAAAUAUUGUGUUGGAAUACAUAUUCUACAUAUUCUAUCUAUUAUAAAAUUUAUAUCUAUCGAUAAUGGCAGCAAUAAGAGAAAAUAUUUAUCGGAUGAAUAAGAUAAAAAAUAAGCAUAUAUUAUUCUUUAAUUUGUUUUUUUUAAUUUUGGAAUUUAAAAAUUUGUUACAGUUAUCUCUCUCUCUAUUUUUUACAUAUUACUCAAAAAAUCACUAAAUCUUAUCGAGAUUUAAAAAAAUUUUUCAUCUGCUUUUUACAUUAUACAUUUUCCUGGUUUUGUUGCUGUAAACUGUAAACGGUUUCUUUAGGAUUAUUACGUUCCAUCCGGAUUUUGGCGCUCCGAAACUGCUAGGCCUCCAAUAAUUGUAUGUGUAUACACUACAUAUAGCAAAAUGAAAAAAAAAAAAAACGAAAAAGCAAGUACCAGAUGCCACUAAUUUUGGGUGAUUUAGCAUAACGAUCGCCGAGAAAAGCCGCCCACUGUCGUUCUUUUCCUUGUCAUUCUCGUUGCUUUGAUCGCACCGGCAAAGCUCGUGACAAAUUUUCAACGUAUUCAAACGCAUUCGUCACCCACUACGAGAGUUUUUGUGGUCGAUAAUCUACUCAUUGCAUGUAUAAUAGUAGAUUCCAUUCUCUAUCGCCUGAGACCGGCUUCUUUCUGAACUACAUAUAUGGGUAUUAGAAAAAUACGUGUUUUUUUAUUUAGCAACAAGAAUUUUCUUCAUCGAAAGAUGUUGUUGCUGUUCUUUAAAAAACAAGUUUUAAUUAUUGUUUUAAAAAAUAUUAUUAUUUUGUAUUUUCUUUAUCCCCAUAUUAUAAUUUUCUUUAUCUUUUUUUCUAUUUUUGGCAUUAAAAAAAGCCAACAAGUCCUGAUAGUAGAUCUUAU